rnacentral:misc_RNA from 1 species
UUUCCGUAGGUGAACCUGCGGAAGGAUCAUUAACACUACUUUUUCAUACCCCUGGAGGAACUAGGAGGGUGAGAGAGUGGGGGUCUGGGGGAGGGGAGGGUGGGGCCACUGUGCCGCCUUCCCUUCUCCCUUCCCGCGCCCUCUCCUCUCCUUCUUUCUCCACUUUACGCCCUGCGUCCUGUGGUGCGCCUGUCGCACUGCUUCACGCAUGCGUGUGUCACCGUUGAAGUCUUCAAGCGUUCCCCUUCCGUCCUUGGACGGAGACGGGCGAACGCCGUGGACACCCUUGAAAAAUAACAGAAAAAAAAAAAAAAAAAAAAGAAUUGACCGAACCUAAGAAACAACUUUUAACAACGGAUAUCUUGGUUCUC